AAACCCCAAUGCGUAUUAGUACAGCAGUGAGGAAUAUUGGUCAAUGGCCGAAAGGCUGAACCAGUAACUUGGAAGAAUGUAAGUGUAUUAUUGUAAUACAAUAACGAUUAACUCGUAUAAAAUUCUAAAUAGGAUAAUGAUAAUGACAAUUUCCUAUUUAUAAGUCUUGACCAAAUUACGUGCCAGCAGUCGCGGUAAUACGUAGAAGACUAGUGUUAGUCAUCUUUAUUAGGUUUAAAGGGUACCUAGACGGUAAAUUAAACUCUAAAUGAGUACUUUUUUACUAGAGUUUUAUGUGAGAAGGAAGAAUUUCUGGAGUAGGGAUGAAAUACUUUGAUACCAGAAGGACUGGUAACGGCGAAGGCAUCCUUCUAUGUAAAAACUGACGUUGAGGGACGAAGGCUUGGGUAGCAAUAAGGAUUAGAUACCCUAGUAGUCCAAGCAGAAAAUGAUGAAUGUCAUAGGCUAGAUUUAAAAUUUAGUCUAUAAAUGAAAGUGUAAGCAUUCCACCUCAAGAGUAAUAUGGCAACAUAUAAACUGAAAUCAUUAGACCGUUUCUGAAACCAGUAGUGAAGUAUGUUAUUUAAUUCGAUAACCCGCGAAAAACCUUACCACAGUUUGAAUAACAAUAAAAUUGUUACAAGCGCUGCACGGCUGUCUUUAGUUAAUGUCGUGAGAUUUGGUUAACUCCUCUAAUUAACGAAAACCCUCACUUUAUUUGAAUACAUAAAGUGGUUCGCCACUACAUUGGACCAGAUAAUAGGGAUUAAGACAAGUCAUCAUGGCCUAAAUACUGUGGGCUAUAGACGUGCCACAUACGCCUUAACAAAGGGAUGCGAUAUUGUGAAAUGGAGCUAAUCCCCAAAAUUGGAUAUAAUAUGGAUUGUAGUCUGUAACUCGACUACAUGAAUAAGGAAUUACUAGUAAUCGUGAAUCACCAUCGUCACGGUGAAUUUAAUCUCAGCUAGGUACUAACCACUCGUCAGGCGCUGAAAGGAGUAUGUGCAAU
rnacentral:rRNA from 1 species